GUACACAACCUUCCUUUUAGUGUGGGAUAGCCCAGAGAAAUUUGGAUUAAUACCACAUAGUAUAUGGGGUCGGCAUCGAUCUUAUAUUAAAGAUUUAUCGCUAAAAGAUGGGUGUGCGUAUGAUUAGGUAGUUGGUAGAGGUAACGGCUCACCAAGCCUUCGAUCAUUAACUGGUGUGAGAGCACGACCAGUCACACGGGCACUGAGACACGGGCCCGACUCCUACGGGAGGCAGCAGUAAGGAAUAUUGGUCAAUGGACGGAAGUCUGAACCAGCCAUGCCGCGUGAAGGAUGACGGCCCUCUGGGGGGUUGUAAACUUCUUUUAUGUGGGACGAAAAAGGGCCAUUCAUGGUCAACUGACGGUACCAUAGGAAUAAGCACCGGCUAACUCCGUGCCAGCAGCCGCGGUAAUACGGAGGGUGCAAGCGUUAUCCGGAUUUACUGGGUUUAAAGGGAGCGCAGGCGGACUGGUAAGUCAGUGGUGAAAGCCUUGAGCUUAACUCGAGAACUGCCAUUGAUACUAUCAGUCUUGAAUGUUGUUGAG
rnacentral:rRNA from 1 species